rnacentral:rRNA from 1 species
AACGCCGCGUGGAGGAUGAAGACUUUCGGGUCGUAAACUCCUGUCGAGCGGGACGAACACUCUUCAGGUGAAUAAUCUGGAGAGCUGACGGUACCGCGAGAGGAAGCCCCGGCUAACUCCGUGCCAGCAGCCGCGGUAAUACGGGGGGGGCAAGCGUUGUUCGGAAUUACUGGGCGUAAAGGGCUCGUAGGCGGCCAACUAAGUCAGACGUGAAAUCCCUCGGCUCAACCGGGGAACUGCGUCUGAUACUGGAUGGCUUGAAUCCGGGAGAGGGAUGCGGAAUUCCAGGUGUAGCGGUGAAAUGCGUAGAUAUCUGGAGGAACACCGGUGGCGAAGGCGGCAUCCUGGACCGGUAUUGACGCUGAGGAGCGAAAGCCAGGGGAGCAAACGGGAUUAGAUACCCCGGUAGUCCUGGCCCUAAACGAUGAAUGCUUGGUGUAGCGGGUAUCGAUCCCUGCUGUGCCGAAGCUAACGCAUUAAGCAUUCCGCCUGGGGAGUACGGUCGCAAGGCUG